rnacentral:rRNA from 1 species
GACGAACGCUGGCGGCGUGCCUAAUACAUGCAAGUCGAACGAGAGCAACCGGUGCUUGCACUGGUCAAUCUAGUGGCGAACGGGUGAGUAACACGUGGAUAACCUGGUAACCAGAGGGGGAUAACAUCCGGAAACGGAUGCUAAAAACGUAAAGGUCCUUGAUCCGCAUGGUUUGAAGAGGAAAAGUGGCGCAAGCUUAUGCUGUUGCAUGGACCCGCGUUGCAUUAGCAAGAUGGUGAGGUAGCGGCUAACCAAGACCGUGAUGCAUAGCCGACCGGAGAGGGUGAUCGGCAAAAUUGGGACUGAGACACGGCCCGAACUCCUACGGAGGGCGGCAGAAGGGAAUCUUCCGCAAUGGACGCAGGUCGGACGGGGCAACGCCGCGUGAGUGAAGAAGGUGUUCGGAUCGUAAAACUCUGUUGUUAGGGAAGAACAAUGGCUAGAGUAACUGUUAGCACCUUGACGGUAUCUAACCAGAAAGCCACGGCUAACUACGUG